rnacentral:ribozyme from 1 species
UGUACAUGCCUGACAAGACCGCUGAGACCAUCGACGACGAUGGGUUCCUUCACAGUGGUGAUGUUGCGGAGUUUGAUGAUGAUGCAGAUACUGACAUUGUGGGUCCAGGUGGAUUCAUGAAGAUCACUGGUC